UGCAGCCAAGACAACAGUGGAUUGGCCUCAGGACCAGUCUCUGAUUGGCCCAGCCAAAGCCCAGACUUUAACCCCAGAGAACAUCUGUGGAGACACCUGAAGAUGGCAGUUCCUGACACCUCCCAUCCAAUGUGUGAGGCUUGAAAGGAUCUCACAGAAAGAAUGGGAUAAACUGCCCAAAUCCAGGUGUGCAGAGCUAGUAGAGACUGGAAGCUCUAACUGCUGCCAAAGGGGCUUCUACUGAAUGAAGGUUCUGAAUAUUUUUGUAAACCAGAAACUUCAGUUUUCAAUUUUUAACUGACUUUCAUUAUGGGUUAUUAAGUCUAGAUUUGUGAGCAAACUUGGCACUUUGGUCCAUUUCACAUUAAUUCUAUAUCACAGCAGAGUGUGCAAAAAGGGAGGUGUCUGAAUACUUUCUGAUUCCACUGUAGGUGGAGUCAAGCGUCUGAUUGCGUUGACACCGACUUUAAACACAGUGGAAAGUAACUGCAACUUAUCAUUAACAGAUCUAGCGUCCUACGAAACGGAAAUGCAGCCUUAACUUCAGUUACUCUUAAAAAUACAGCGUUACAGUAACGCACAUCAUUAGCCGACUUAACGUUACAAUCACGUACCUAAGUUAGCAAAACGAAAAAUUAAACACAGCCGCAAUAACAUGACAUCAACGUGUAACGUUAACGAUGAUAUUAUAAGUAAGCCGAACAGCGUUUCUUGCAUUUGACUUGAAACGGUGACAGCACCUGUUGAUAACAAAGCCACUUCAGACCAGAUCGAAAACACCGGAAUACUCACUCUGUUCCUGAGCCGUCCACGUACACUCCUGUAGCUGCUAUAUCCAACAGGUAAAUCGCUAUUAAGUGUUAGUUUUAAGCCAGGCACUUAUAGUUCCGGUUUUACUAUUCUUAUUCCCAGUUUCACUCUAACAGACUUGCUGGUCGAUUAUCGCACCCCACGGUGCUGACCUCCCUCUCUGUCUCUCCUCCCAGACUGUCAUUCCGAGCUCCAGACAGAUGCCACCAACCACAUAAAACAGCGAUGCUGAUUGGAUACAGCUACGAAAGAAAUCUCGCUGAUCUCCUCAGAGCAGACCAAUGAGGAUUCAGCCUGCGCUGGCUCCCAUUUGCUGUUGCAUAUGACAUCACAGCUAAUGGCGACCAG